UCCUGGCUCCUGACAGUCACCACAUGUGCUGGAGGCGGGGACAAGCGGAAAGGGCUGCUUUGCGUUUGGUUCCUGAUGGGAAGCAUCAAAGCUGUUCCCCGUCAUUAACUAUGAUUGCAGGACAAUUUCCCUUGGUGAUUGUCUACAUUGGAGGAAACCCAGGUCACCACUGCAGCCUGGUCAGCAGCCUCUCCAUGGCCUGGGAACCACAUGGCUCAAAGCUGAGACUCUCUUCUCCACAGCCGGUGGGGUCACCAAGAAGACUUCAGAACCACUGGGGUCCGACGAUCAGGGCCACGUGUGAAGGUUUUCAAAGCUCCGGUGUGGGUCCAAACACAGGCAGGGUGGGCAUCCUUGGUCAGAGGUCAGUGGCCCUCAGAGGUGACUUCGGCUACCCUUGACCCACUUCAGUGGAAAAUCCUAAUAAAAUGGAUUAGAAAUGUGGGCA
rnacentral:lncRNA from 1 species